rnacentral:rRNA from 1 species
GUCAUAUGCUUGUCUCAAAGAUUAAGCCAUGCAUGUCUCAGUACAAGCCAAAUUAAGGUGAAACCGCGAAAGGCUCAUUAAAUCAGUUAUGGUUCCUUAGGUCGUACCCACAAUUACUUGGAUAACUGUGGUAAUUCUAGAGCUAAUACAUGCAAACAGAGCUCCGACCGGAGACGGAAGGAGUGCUUUUAUUAGAACAAAACCAAUCGGUGGCGGGUUCGCUCGUCAUCGUACAACUUGGUGACUCUGAAUAACUUUAGGCUGAUCGCACGGUCAUCGCACCGGCGACGCAUCUUUCAAAUGUCUGCCUUAUCAACUGUCGAUGGUAGGUUCUGCGCCUACCAUGGUUGUAACGGGUAACGGGGAAUCAGGGUUCGAUUCCGGAGAGGGAGCCUGAGAAACGGCUACCACAUCCAAGGAAGGCAGCAGGCGCGCAAAUUACCCACUCCCGGCACGGGGAGGUAGUGACGAAAAAUAACGAUACGGGACUCAUCCGAGGCCCCGUAAUCGGAAUGAGUACACUCUAAACCCAUUAACGAGGAUCAAUUGGAGGGCAAGUCUGGUGCCAGCAGCCGCGG